UGAUUCAGGCAAUGGCAAGGCCCUACUGAGGUGGAUGGCGCAAGGCGUCCAUCCUCUGGAGGAGCGCGGUAUGUUUCUGGGAAUGGGCUGAUUUGUUUUUGUAUUCCUUUAAUAAGUAUAGUGGCGACUUCUCAUAUGACCAUUAAGUAUGAAGGAAAAAACAUGACUUUCCCAACUAAUGCAACUACUUCUAAAGAAGAGAUCUGUUUGCUCUAAAUGCAAUGAUUCAGCUGUGGAGCGUAAAUUGUUAAUGUCUAAUGAAAAACUCCCUGUAUUCCUGUCAAGGAAGUUUUUGAGAAAUUAAAUUAAAACCUAGAGAAGAAAAAUUAAUGUUAAGAAGACAGAUUAGUGCUUGGUAUUGGGCAACUUGUUCUUGUUCCUGUGCACAAUGGUUUGUGCUCUUACUCUUGUUUGAUUAAAAUUAAUAACAAGUCAACCACUUGCCGUAACCAUGGCACCGGUUCCAGUCAGUAAGUCAAGAAAGAAUAGUCAAGGUAUAGGCCAAUAGUC
rnacentral:lncRNA from 1 species